rnacentral:rRNA from 1 species
UGCCUACGGGGCGCAGCAGUGGGGAAUAUUGGGCAAUGGGCGCAAGCCUGACCCAGCAACGCCGCGUGAAGGAAGAAGGCUUUCGGGUUGUAAACUUCUUUUAAGAGGGAAGAGUAGAAGACGGUACCUCUUGAAUAAGCCACGGCUAACUACGUGCCAGCAGCCGCGGUAAUACGUAGGUGGCAAGCGUUAUCCGGAAUUACUGGGUGUAAAGGGUGUGUAGGCGGGGCUGCAAGUCAGAUGUGAAAAUUAUGGGCUCAACCCAUAACCUGCGUCUGAAACUGUAGCUCUUGAGAGUGGGAGAG